rnacentral:rRNA from 1 species
CCUACGGGAGGCAGCAGCUAAGGAUCUUCCGCAAUGGGCGAAAGCCUGACGGAGCGACGCCGCGUGGACGAUGGAGGCCGUGAGGUUGUAAAGUCCUUUUCCGUGGGGUGAAGAGCCGUGCCAGGGAAUGGGUGCGGGGUGACGUGACCACGGGAAUAAGCCCCGGCUAACUACGUGCCAGCAGCCGCGGUAAU